UGUAUAAAGUUAGGAUGAAGAUUUGAAGGUAUUUGAAGAUUUUAUGGGUUUCUGGGUUAGUUGAGAUGAGUUUGAUUGAUUUUUUUUUGGUUUUCUAGAAAGCGUUCGAAGGUUUUCUGGGUACUACUUGAAGGAUUUCUACGUUUUUGUAGGAGUUUGAGAUGAAGGUUUGAGGAUUGUUGAAGGUUGUAACGCCCUGAAUUUUCAAUUAAU
rnacentral:lncRNA from 1 species